CCUGCCUGGAGACUCAUGACGCGGCCCCAGUUCUCACUCCCAUUGCGUGUCCGGUUUCUAGAGACGCCAAUCAGCGUCUCCGCGGUUCCGGGUUAUAAAGUCUCCACCGAUCCGCAAGAACUCAGUCUCCCCAGACUCCGAAGAUGAGGGUUAUGAUGCCGCCAACCUUCCUCCUCCUGCUCUCGGGGGCCCUGACCCUGACCGAGACCUGGGCGGGCUCCCACUCCCUGAGGUAUUUCUACACCGCCGUGUCCCGGCCCGGCCGCGGGGAGCCCCGCCUCAUCGCCGUCGGCUACGUGGACGACACGCAGUUCGUGCGGUUCGACAGCGACGCCCCGAAUCCGAGGAAGGAGCCGCGGGCGCCGUGGGUGGAGCAGGAGGGGCCGGAGUAUUGGGAGCGGGAGACGCGGAUCUCUAAGGAAAACGCACAGAUUUUCCGAGUGAGCCUGAACAACCUGCGCGGCUACUACAACCAGAGCGAGGCCGACUCUCACACCCUCCAGUGGAUGCACGGCUGCGACGUGGGGCCGGACGGGCGCCUCCGCCGCGGGUACAGUCAGUUCGCCUACGACGGCAAAGAUUACAUCUCCCUGAACGAGGACCUGCGCUCCUGGACCGCGGCGGACACGGCGGCUCAGAUCUCCCGGCGCAAGUGGGAGGCGGCCGGUGUGGCGGAGAGCUACAGGAACUACGCAGAGGGCCGGUGCAUGGAGGGGCUCCGCAGAUACCUGGAGAACGGGAAGGAGACGCUGCAGAGCGCAGAUCCCCCAAAGACACACCUGACCCACCACCUCAUCUCUGACCGUGAGGUCACCCUGAGGUGCUGGGCCCUGGGCUUCUACCCUGCGGAGAUCACCCUGACUUGGCAGCAUGAUGGGGAGGACCUCACUCAGGACACAGAGCUUGGGGAGACCAGGCCUGCAGGGGAUGAGACCUUCCAGAAGUGGGCGGCUGUGGUUGUGCCUUCUGGAGAGGAGCAGAGAUACAGCUGCCAUGUGCAACAUGAGGGGCUGCCUGAACCUGUCACCCUGAGAUGGGAGCCACCUCCUCAGCCCACCAUCCCCAUUGUGGGCAUCAUUGCUGGCCUGGUUCUCUUCGUGGUCAUUGUAGCUGUGGUGGCUGGAAUUGUGAUCUGGAGAAAGAAGCGCUCAGGUGAAAAAAGAGGGAGCUACAUGCAGGCUGCAGCCAGUGACAGUGCCCAGGGCUCUGAUGUGUCUCUCACGGAUCCUAAAGUGUGAGACAGCUGCUUUGUGGGGGACUGAAUGAUGCAGGAUUUCUUCACACUCCCACUUUGUGAGUUGAAGAACCCUGACUUCUCUUUCUACAACUGGCAUCUGAAUCUGUCUGCGUUCCUAUUAGCAUAAUAUGAGGAGUUGGGGAGAUUCGUCCACCUCCUGCCCACCACGACCCCCUCCCGACACUGCCCUGUUUUCUUCCCCGAUGGACUUUCCUGUUCCAGCAGAGGCAGGGCUGGGCUGUCUCUAUCCUUGUCUUAACUUCAUGUUGCACUGAGUAGUAAUAACUAGCUUCUUAUUGAAAAUAAGAAUCUAGAUAUGAAUUUCUCUUUUCCAAUUCUUGUCAUAAGGGAUUGAUGUGUUAAUUAAAGGAAAAAUUUCCUAAAGUUUGAGACAGGAAAUAAAUGAAAACACUGAGAACCUUCUAGAA